GAUGAACGCUAGCGGCAGGCCUAACACAUGCAAGUCGAGGGGUAACAGGGAGCUUGCUCCGCUGACGACCGGCGCACGGGUGCGCAACGCGUAUACAACCUACCCCUGGCUGGGGAAUAGCCCAGAGAAAUUUGGAUUAAUGCCCCAUGUGGGCCCCAUCCGGCAUCGGGAGGGGCCCAAAGGUUACGGCCGGGGAUGGGUAUGCGUCCCAUUAGCUGGUUGGUGCGGUAACGGCGCACCAAGGCGACGAUGGGUAGGGGUCCUGAGAGGGAGAUCCCCCACACUGGUACUGAGACGCGGACCAGACUCCUACGGGAGGCAGCAGUGAGGAAUAUUGGACAAUGGGCGGAAGCCUGAUCCAGCCAUGCCGCGUGCAGGAAGACGGUCCUAUGGAUUGUAAACUGCUUUUGUACGGGAAGAACAGGGGCCACGUGUGGCCCUCUGACGGUACCGUAAGAAUAAGGAUCGGCUAACUCCGUGCCAGCAGCCGCGGUAAUACGGAGGAUCCGAGCGUUAUCCGGAAUCAUUGGGUUUAAAGGGUCCGUAGGCGGGCCGUUAAGUCAGGGGUGAAAGUCUGCAGCUCAACUGUAGAACUGCCCUUGAUACUGGCGGCCUUGAGUUGCGGUGAAGUGGCCCGGAAUAUUUAGUGUAGCGGUGAAAUGCAUAGAUAUUACAUAGAACCCCGAUUGCGAAGGCAGGCCACUAACCGCACACUGACGCUGAUGGACGAAAGCGUGGGGAGCGAACAGGAUUAGAUACCCUGGUAGUCCACGCCGUAAACGAUGGAUACUAGCUGUCCGUCCGCCCCAGGCGGAUGGGCGGCCAAGCGAAAGUGAUAAGUAUCCCACCUGGGGAGUACGUCCGCAAGGAUGAAACUCAAAGGAAUUGACGGGGGCCCGCACAAGCGGUGGAGCAUGUGGUUUAAUUCGAUGAUACGCGAGGAACCUUACCAGGGCUUGAAUGGGGGGCGACAGGCGCAGAGAUGUGCCCUUCUUCGGACGCCCUUCAAGGUGCUGCAUGGUUGUCGUCAGCUCGUGCCGUGAGGUGUCAGGUUAAGUCCUAUAACGAGCGCAACCCCUGUGGCCAGUUGCCAGCGGGCAAUGCCGGGAACUCUGGCCAGACUGCCGGUGCAAACCGCGAGGAAGGUGGGGAUGACGUCAAAUCAUCACGGCCCUUACGCCCUGGGCCACACACGUGCUACAAUGGCCGGUACAGAGAGCGGCCACUGGGCGACCAGGCGCGAAUCUAUAAAACCGGUCACAGUUCGGAUCGGAGUCUGCAACCCGACUCCGUGAAGCUGGAAUCGCUAGUAAUCGGAUAUCAGCCAUGAUUCGGUGAAUACGUUCCCGGGCCUUGUACACACCGCCCGUCAAGCCAUGGAAGCCGGGAGUGCCUGAAGUCCGUCACCGCAAGGAGCGGCCUAGGGCAAGAUCGGUAACUAGGGC
rnacentral:rRNA from 1 species